UGGAAUACAGUGUUGCCAGAUUUACUGUUCCGUUCCGUCACAAAUCAUCUGUCAUUCAAGUCAUUAUGUCAAGAAAAAAUUUGGUUUUGUUUUCAAAAUUGUUGAAGUUCUAUUUUCUAUUUGGUUUGGUUCUAUUUUUUAGUCAUGAAGUUAAGUAGUAUCGUGGGAUAUUUGAAGUUCUUGGGUACUCAAAAUUUAAGAAGUUUUAGAAGGAAAACAAGUUUUAAACUCUGGUCAUCUUAUUUUGGCUGGAAAAAUAGAGGAAAGUUCUGAGCAUACCAUCAAAAUAUAAUAUGGUUUAUUCCUUCAGUAAGGUCCAAUCCCCACGAAAUUAAAGGAACCCUAUCUUUCACAAAUGGCAUGAGCAUUAGCCAAAUGUUAUGUUCUUGUAAAGCAGAAAAUAGUGGAAAAUGUAAACAUGUCUCUACUCUUGUUAAAUGUAAGUAUAAGGGAAAAUGUGAAAUUAAUGGAACAUUCAGUACAUGAGUUGAAAAAAUGUUAACAGAUUGGCAAGUGAAGACCAUUUUUAAUUGAUCUAAACAUUUAUAGAAACAAAGUAUAUGGUUGAUAUAAAAUAUUACCUGCCUGAAGUAACUUGAUGUACAAAUCAAUAGUAACCAUAAUUUUUUUCCCAGGGCCAGUGAGAAACAAUGUGCAUUUCAUUUCUAAGUGUUCUAAGGAAAGCUCUCGUAAGAAUAAAUAGAUCUGUACAAUGAAGAUUAACCUAAUCUGUUUAACCAUCAAAAUUAUUGUAUUGUUAUAAAAAUAAUCUCCAUUUCAUAUUAUUUACAUUUACAAACAUUAGCCUAGAAUUUCAUUGUGUCUACAUUAGUGGCCAUAGUCCCAAACCUCCCCUGGUCAACGGAGGUACUGUCUUUCGCAGAUGUAGUAAUGCCGGGUUUGAUACAUUAUUGUUAAAUAAACUUUGUGAAUAGUAAAUUUUCACAAAAUAAACAGAGUUUUAAUAGUUUUCACUGUACUUAAAUAUUUUUUACAUUCAGUGGUAAUAACAUUAUAUUUUGUUUUGGUAUUUAAAUUUACCUAAAUAUUUAUAGAAAUAUACUAUACUAAAUUCAAGAUGCAGUAGAAAUAAACAAACCAAGACACAUUAAAUGCUACUAUGAGCACUCCCGAAUCAUAAUUUACAAUGUAUAUACAUUGUAAAUCCCAAAUAAUGAUUUUCAAAGUUUAUACAUUGUAAGUUAUGAUUCGGGAGUGCUCCUAAUAGUAGCAUUUAACUUGUCUUGGUUUGUUUAUUUCUACUGCAUCUUAAUUUUAAAUUUAGUGUAGAUGUGGCCAUCAUAGGACUCUUACUUAUAGAUGCAAUAAAAUUAUUGGUUUAUUUUCAUUUUAAAUGUUAUACUUCCAGUAUUGUAUGUAGUACCUAGUAUUAAAACAUAUAUUUUUAAUUAAAAAUAAAAAUAUCUUAUUUCUAUAAUGAACAACAUUAAAUUUACUUCUUGCGGGAGUAGAAAAAAGUUAUAGUAAAUAUUUUUAACUCGUUUAGCUUUUGAUGAUAUUUGCCAUAUGUUUGUGUAAGACAUGUUUAACGAGUAGUCUAAGGGCAUAUUAUUAUACUUUGUUAUACAAAAUAUACAUAAAAUUUUGAAACUUUUAGCUUCAUUUUUUCAUUGUUUCAAUAUUAAAUCCCAAAUUUAGACUCUCCACCAUUUUCUCAUAAAAAAGUAUGUUCAGUUUUUACCCCAGGUAGACCGAAACCACCAAAAAAUUGAUGUUACUUAAGUUUUUAAGUACUAAAAAAAUGCGUUUCAUCAGAUACACAAAAUAAAUGCAACUGAUUAUGUUCGGAUAGUUGGGUCCCUCUUAAUUUUUAUUCCUAAAAACUUUACUAUUAAACCAAAGUUUUAGUUAAAAAAAAAAACAAAAUGUUUGCUUCUGUGUGGAGUUACAAAAAUAAGUUGAAAUGUUAUUUAAGUUCGUAUUAUUUCCUGGUGAUCCUCUGCCAUACUAAUUUUACACUGUUCUUACAUGCAAGCAUUUGUAAAUUAAUUUACCAUUAAAGGGCGGCCCAAGGUAUAUUCAUCUUAAAUGAGUGGUUGUAGUUUUGUAUAUUUUAUUUUCAUUUUGUAUUAUUUUUAUUUUAGUUUUGUAAUAUUUUUAAGAACAAAUAAAAUAAUUAUAAUUAUUCUGAA